UCCAAAUCCAUGGAUCUAAGAAGCAAGGAAUGAAGGCCCUAUCUCUUGGGUGAUUAUCCUUUGCUUAUACAAAGAGGAAUCAACAAAGGUAUAAUUUCUCAACUCACUUUGUUUUGAGUUGAGUCUUGGUUCACCAAACUACUAGGCUUUGAAUUUAAUGGGUAAUGUUUUGUUUUGAGUGCAUGCAAGCAUGAUUCCGCCUUU
rnacentral:lncRNA from 1 species